AUAGGUGGCCAUAAAGUGGUGGCCCGACCCGAUCCCAUCCCGAACUCGGCCGUCAAACACCACGUUGCCGAUGGUAGCAGUUCGAAAGGUUCUGCGAGAGUAGGUAGCCGCCUUAC
rnacentral:rRNA from 1 species